AUGGUCAGAUCACCGCUGGACAUCAUCUCAGCCCAAAGGAGCUUCCUUGCCCAGAGUGACAGGUCCUCAUCCAGGGAGACAUCUGGUGAAUGCCAGUUAUUUUUCUGUGUGUAUGGUAACAGUAUUCUGCAAGUCAUCGAUGAGGACGCCAGACGCUUUAACGACUGCAAGGACCGUACAGAUAAAUCUACAGCUGCGCCCCCUCCCCUUUAUUCCCAUCCUGGUCCAUUUCCUCUGCCGCAGAAGUAGCCAUUAUUAAGAGUUUGAUGUUCUUCCUUCCAAGCCAUUUAAAGCUAUGCACAUCUCCCCCAAAAUAUGUAUUAAUGUGUUUGUGAUUAAACAUUUGCGUAUUUAUAUAAGCAAUAUUAAAUACAACCUACCGUGCAG
rnacentral:lncRNA from 1 species